rnacentral:rRNA from 1 species
GAUGAACGCUGGCGGCGUGCCUAAUACAUGCAAGUCGAACGCUGGAACUCUAGCUUGCUAGCUUGAAGGAGUGGCGAACGGGUGAGUAAUACAUAAGCAACCUACCCACGAAGACUGGGAUAAUCUCUGGAAACGGGGACUAAUACCGGAUAGGUAAUCGGAAGGCAUCUUCUGAUUAUUAAAGGUUACAAACACUGGUGGAUGGGCUUAUGGCGCAUUAGUUAGUUGGUGAGGUAACGGCCCACCAAGACGAUGAUGCGUAGCCGGCCUGAGAGGGUGAACGGCCACAUUGGGACUGAGACACGGCCCAGACUCCUACGGGAGGCAGCAGUAGGGAAUUUUCGGCAAUGGGGGAAACCCUGACCGAGCAACGCCGCGUGAGUGAUGACGGCCUUCGGGUUGUAAAGCUCUGUUGUAAGGGAAGAACGGUAGAUAGAGAAUAUCUAAAUGACGGUACCUUACCAGAAAGCCACGGCUAACUACGUG